UUCUUGGAUCGUCGCAAGACGAACUACAGCGAAAGCAUUUGCCAAGUAUGUUUUCUUUAAUCAAGAACGAAAGUUAGAGGUUCGAAGGCGAUCAGAUACCGCCCUAGUUCUAACCAUAAACUAUGCCAUCUAGCGAUCCGCUGUGUGUCUUAGAUGUCACGGCGGGCAGCCCCCGGGAAACCAAAGACUUUGGGUUCCGGGGGAAGUAUGGUUGCAAAGCUGAAACUUAAAGGAAUUGACGGAAGGGCACCACAAGAAGUGGAGCUUGCGGCUUAAUUUGACUCAACGCGGGGUAUCCUACUAGGCCCGGACACUCGAAGGAUUGACAGAUUGAGAGCUCUUUCUUGAUUGGGUGCGUAGUGGUGCAUGGCCGUUCUUCGUUGGUGGUGCGAACUGUCUGCUUAAUUGCGAUAACGAACGAGACUCUAGCCUGCUAACUAGUCGAUACUGGCAUCCGUUGUGCAGCCGGCGACUAUAAAUCUUCUUAGAGGGACAGGUGGUGUAUAGCCACACGAGAAUGAGCAAUAACAGGUCUGUGAUGCCCUUAGAUGUUCUGGGCCGCACGCGUGCUACACUGAAGGGAUCAGCGUGUGUUUUCCUAGUCCGAGAGGACCGGGUAACCCGUUGAACCCCCUUCGUGCUAGGGAUUGGGGCUUGCAAUUUUUCCCCACGAACGAGGAAUUUCUAGUAAGCACGAGUCAUAACCUCGCGUUGAUUAUGUCCCUGCCCUUUGUCCACACCGCCCGUCGCUACUACCGAUUGAAUGAUUUAGUGAGGUCUUCGGACCAGUGCGCGGUUUUCGAAAUUUUUUUCGAAGACCGAUGUUACCGGAAAGAUGACCGAACUUGAUUAUUU
rnacentral:rRNA from 1 species